rnacentral:rRNA from 1 species
GACGAACGCUGGCGGCGUGCUUAACACAUGCAAGUCGAGCGGAAAGGCCACUUCGGUGGUACUCGAGCGGCGAACGGGUGAGUAGCACGUGAGUAAUCUGCCCCUGGCUUUGGGAUAGCCACCGGAAACGGUGAUUAAUACCGGAUACGACCACUUCUCGCAUGGGAUGGUGGUGGAAAGUUUUUUCGGCCAGGGAUGUGCUCGCGGCCUAUCAGCUUGAUGGUGGGGUAAUGGCUCACCAUGGCUUCGACGGGUAGCCGGCCUGAGAGGGUGACCGGUCACACUGGGACUGAGACACGGCCCAGACUCCUACGGGAGGCAGCAGUGGGGAAUAUUGGACAAUGGGCGGAAGCCUGAUCCAGCAACGCCGCGUGAGGGAUGACGGCCUUCGGGUCGUAAACCUCUUUCAGCAGGGACGAAGCGCAAGUGACGGUACCUGCAGAAGAAGCACCGGCCAACUACGUGCCAGCAGCCGCCGCCG